CACCGGGGGUGAACAACUUGUAUCACGUGACCGCAAAAGUCAACGCCGGUUGAAGAAACAGUCUGUAAUCUUGCACAUUAAGGUUAGUAUUUCUUGAGCAAUAGGAAAUGGCAAACGCAGGUUGCGAAAAUAUUCAAAAGAUGAUGAAACGCACACUGUUCACAUUAUUGGAAAUUUUCAAAGGAUGAUAAGAAAAAUGGCGUUCGUGUGUGAAAUAUGUGGGAAGACAUUUAAAUCGGAGUGGGGGUUAAAGCUUCAUGAUAAGCCCCACAGAGGGUGGACGAUUCGCCUGUUGUGGAAAAACAUUUUACACAAAACAGGCGUUCAACAGACA